UAUUAAAAAUUAACCGAUAAUUGUAGAAAUAUAAGAAUGAAAUCGAAAUUAUCAUGACAGUAAUCAAAUCUCGUAACUUUUGAAGAUGGCAAUUUGAAAUGUCAAAGUAAUUUGUUUGAAAACUGUCGGAUGAAGAGCAAAACAUCCACUACGAAGAGCAAGAAAAAAUGGUCGAGUGUAAUUAAUCAAUAAGACAUAAGACUCAGAAACGACAAGACAAAUUCCUUAAUUUUGGUUAUUUAAAAUGGCAAUUGAAAGAUUUAUAUACAAGAAGAAAAACAUGAAAUUUGAGCACUAAUUAUACAUGCAAGAAUUAAAAACAUACAACUUAAGAACUCAUUGUAGCCCCAUUUAUUAUGAUUCUGACUUGGGGUCUUUUCAAAUUAUAAGGAUGAGACAUUUGUAUUGUGAAAGGCAUUUGAAUUGUGCAAUUCAGUGAAACAGUAAUGGUAUUAUUAUACCUUCUUCUCACCUACACGACUUUCAAAAUUGUGAGCACUUGUUUAAUGUACGAUUUACUAUUAGAUAAAUUAGGCGAUAAUGACUUUAAAAAAUGAAGAAAAGAUGGUUUAUUGAUUCCCAAAAACAAAAAAAAUCUUACAAUAUGACUGUAUUGUAGGUCUUUACGUUAUCAGUGUUAAACCUUAUUAAACAUAAGGCUUUUUGGUAGGUCGUUACGUUUCAGUGAUUGCAACUAGUAUUGUUACUACUCAUUCUACAUUUAAUUGUCUGUACCAUUUGCAAUAAUAAUGGGGGGGGGAAGAUUUAGAUGUAAAACACAAUAAUUUGUCAUGAAAUUUGAAAAAUACAACAAAUAGACGAGCGUUGUAAAACCAAUAAAAGAAUGCAACAAUAAAAUUAAUUUUGAGAAAUCGGUACCGUGAUAUUUCCUAUUAAUCUCAUAAAUUCAAUAAACUGCAGAAAGAAUUAAGAUAACUUUUGUGAAAACUUUGUGCACUUUAUUUGGAGAUAAAACUUGGUGGAGAAAACAAA